rnacentral:lncRNA from 1 species
CCACUUUUCUGCUCUCAGCGGACCAAUGGGCAAGCGCACAUGAGUCUCGCGGGCCUCCCACCCCUGAGCCGAGCUGACCAAUGGUAGGUGGCUGCCUCUCGCCUCGCCGCCUCGCCCACAAAGCUUCCUGGGAAUGGGCGGGGCGAGGGGCAUUAGCAAAGCUGCUGGACUUGACCUUGGCGUGACCUCUCCUGUGCCAGCGAAGCUGCUCAGGCAAGUUCAUAGACACCGGUCUAACCUCAGCUAUUUGAGACCUAUGCUCAUACAGCCCAGGCUACAGCCUCCACCGCCGCGCCACACCUCUGCGUUUCGAAGACUGAAUAGGAGUUCAUUAUGCAAAAUUCAUGUAUUGAUCUCUUCACAGCAACUUUGUGUCACUCUGGAAACAAACAUCCUUACUUCCUUUAUUCUUUAACCAUACACAAGACAAGCCACUAAACUGUUGUCCGAUGCCCAGGUUUUCGAGUAUCUCACCUGCCUUUUCCAGGAAAGUCUUAUUUAUUUCCUACAGUAAACACAUGCUCCCGACCCCCCUUUAAGUCUCUGCCCCAUCAUAGGUUUUAUAGUUACGUGUUUAUCCAUGAAUUUCUGUUCUGCCUAAGGAACUCCUAUUCAUUCUUCAAAGCCCAAUUCUAAAAUGCCUAUCCUCAUUAUAUAGACUCUACACAUCCCAUCCUUCCAGUCUUCAUUCCUCCCCUGGCCUAUCCUGGCUUCACUAAACUAGUGACAGGAUUGGUUCUGCAUUUCCUGGACAGAGGACUCAUUGGUAACUGGUCCUUGGCAUCUUUAGGUGUGAAGGUCAAUUCUGUCAAUCAGACAGGAUCUAGAGUCACCUUGAAGACAACCCCGGGGGCAUAUGAGAUGGUUGGUCUAGAAAAGUGGUUCUCAACCUUCCUGAUGCUAUGACCUUUUAAUAUAGUUCCUCAUGCUGUGCUGACCCCCGACUAUAACGUUUUGUUGUUAGGUAAUUUUGCUACUGUUAUGAUUUGUAAAUAUCUGAUAUGUGACCGCUGUGAAAGGGUUGUCUGACCUCCCCCAAGGGGUGUGGACUCACAGGGUGAGAGCAGCUGGUCUAGACUGUUAGCUGAGGUGAAAAGAUUCCCCCGACCCAGAAUGUGGGUGGCACCAUCCUAUGUGCUAGAGUUCUGGACAAAUUAAAAAGUUGCAAGUGUCUGAGCAGUGGUUGCCCACACCUUUAGUCUCAUCUUUCAGGAGGCAGAGGCAAGUGGAUCUCUGUGAGUUUGAGGGACUUGGGGACAGAACAAGUUCCAGAACAGCCAGGGCUACAUUCUGUCUCCACCCAACCCCUCCCACCAAUAGGAUGAAGUGGGUGGAGCAUCAGCAUUUGCCUGCUUGCCUCCUGACUGCAUACAGUGUGACUUCAAGCUCCUGUCUGGACUUACACAAACACACAGACACAGACACACAUAGGAGAUGGGCUAUAGACUCUCACAAGGUGAGCCAGCAUACACCCUUCCUUCCUUAAGUAGCUUUUGUGUUUUGUUAUACAAUGAAAAAAGUAAUUCCCAGAGACUGGCAUUUUUUUGGCUUUUCAGAUGGGAUGAACUCUAGGGUCUGGGGCAUUGAGAGCUGAGCAGGUGCAGUACCCUGGGUUACAGCUCCACAUUAAAGACAAAAACACAAACUCCAACUCUAGGAAAAAGGAAUCACAGGAGUAUAGAUGAUUUAUUCUAUGAAUUUAAAUUUAGCACCAUUUGAAAAUAAGGCAAGAUCCUUGUCUCUGAGAAGUCUGGAGUCUGGGCUUUGUGGGACAUGUGCAAGGUUUUCAUAGCGAGGCAGCAGCUCUUGCAGGUUGGCAAUUUGAAGAAGCUGGGCAGUUUUUCCUGGGACGAGUUUGAGGUUAUGCCUUUACUUAUAGCAGACCUUCCUGGGGGAGUCGGCAAUGGAGGAGCAGAUGUCUGGCUUCUCCGUUCCCUGGAGGGGGAUGAAAGGCUAGGAAUGGGGGACCUCUGGGGAGACUCAACCCCCCUAGAUGAACCCCAUGAUUCAUGCCCAGCUUACCUGGUACAGCUGACAGACUAUGCUCAGGAGCUCGCUGGGGUCCUUCAAAGGUUUCUGCAUAUCACAGGAGACAUGGGUAAGCACAGCUGGGUAAGAGGAAUGAGCCUGGGAGCUGACGUAGGGGGAUCACUGAUAGUUCCAGAACACUCUCACUUGUACUGACCUAGGCAGGGCGGCUGAUCUGUCACUCUGCUUUGGGAUCUUUCAGACAAAGACUCUUGUGUAUGAGGCCAGAGCUCAAAAUGGAGGAUCUUUGUUGUCUUUUGUUAUUUUGGCUUUGGUGUCUUUUUUCUAAUUAAAAUCUUAUUUUU